CUGACGUUACUGAAGAUCUCACCUGUAGAUUCACCUCUUGUCUUGUUAUGAGUUUUUUUUCUUGACAUGUAAAUUAUUUAGAACAUUAAUGGUUUCCAGUUUUAAAGGGAAAUUAAAACAAAAUAUCCUCCAGUUAAACCUCUGAUCAGCUGCAGUUUGGUUCAAAUGAAUAACUGCAAUUGAUUUAUAAUGUGAACAGUUUUCAUUUAAAUUUAUAAUUCAUGAUCAAAAAUCUCACUUAGUCAACUCCUCUGUAAACUACUGGACUAAAUUCUACCUUUUAUAAAAUGUUAUGUUCUCGUUGACACGGUCAGAAAUUUGGCUCCUUUCUGAUCGUCCUCCAGUAAAACUCCAAUAAGAAGCAUCAUCAGAUGAAGAUGUCUCUGAGAUGUAGUCCAGAGUCCAUCCCAGCCUGGGCUCAGGGUGGAGAAAACCUCCAGACAGACUGUCAGACAUGUUUUCACAUCUCAGGAUCACAGCAGGAGGAAAAGCACAAGUCACAUGGAAAAGGCUAAAGUAGAGAGGCAGGACAGAGAUUCAAAGCUCCUUCAUACUGAUGAACAACACGUCUCAGAAAGAGGAGGAUGCUACAACAUCAGCCUCCUCACUACUGACACCAAAACCUAAAGCAAGCUGUUAGCUGUGAACCCAAGCAGGAGGAAACUGGACAUUAGAUCCAUGCUGACAUCACUGAGCCUGCUUUUAAUCUGCACUGACUGCUACAGUUUAGAUUUCAGGACCAUCAACACAUGCUGCUGUUCUCUCUGACUGUGUUACAUCAACUUCAUGUCUUCUAUUUCAGGGUUCUCUGUUGGAGUGGUUGCUGCUCUUGUUGUUAUCAUUGUUAUUCUCGUCAUUGUUCUUGCUGUUGUUCUUUACUUCAAAAGAAAAUAUAAAGGCACAGGUAGUGUAGUUUAAGAAAAGGAAACUCAUCAUCCACUGAAAAAAAAGGAGGGUCGACAGCUGGACCAAUAAGUCACCUCAUGACUUCUCUGUUUCACUUUAGUCUUUUUUUAUUCAUGUGAGGACCACUGAAACUAUUCUUUGACUCAUCUUUUGUUCUCAUUCAGGAGAUUUAUUUAUUUAUUUAUUUUUUAAAGUUCAGGUUCAUGUUAACAAAAGAAGUAUGUUUCUCUAUUAACACUGAGGUUCUGCUGUGUCUCAUUGUGACUCUUGAUGCUGUUGAUGCUCAUUCAUGCAGGUGGUAUAAUGUGACUUUGAUUUAUUUUAUUUUAACAUGAGUCUCUCAUGUACAGUUAUGAACAGAAACACUAUGCUCUUGUUGACUAUGAUAUUUGAAUAUAUAUAUGCAUUUCAUUUAGUGGUUCAGCUCAAGACUAUUAUUUCCUUUUAAUAAGAUGAAUAAUCAAUUCAUGAUUCAGUUGUUCCUUCAGCCUUUCAAUGAUCACAAUCCAAAGACAAUAACUUGAAUUAAAAUAUAAAUUGUAAAAAAAAAAAAAAAAAAAGAAAAAAAAGCAGAUGAUUUAAACACAUCAAUUAUUUAAUUUAAUUGAGUCAUUGAUGAAUGACUUCAGUUCUGAUUUUGUUAAGUGAUGAUGCAUUUUUUGAUUAUCAUGUAGUUUCAUGCUGUGCUUUAUUAUUUCUAUCAGGAUGUUAAAAUAAAACAUGACAAUAAUCAAA